AUUGAACGCUGGCGGCAGGCCUAACACAUGCAAGUCGAGCGGCAGCGGGAAAGUAGCUUGCUACUUUUGCCGGCGAGCGGCGGACGGGUGAGUAAUGCCUGGGAAAUCGCCCAGUCGAGGGGGAUAACAGUUGGAAACGACUGCUAAUACCGCAUACGCCCUACGGGGGAAAGCAGGGGACCUUCGGGCCUUGCGCGAUUGGAUCUGCCCAGGUGGGAUUAGCUAGUUGGUGAGGUAAUGGCUCACCAAGGCGACGAUCCCUAGCUGGUCUGAGAGUGGGAUCAGCCACACUGGAACUGAGACACGGUCCAGACUCCUACGGGAGGCAGCAGUGGGGAAUAUUGCACAAUGGGGGAAACCCUGAUGCAGCCAUGCCGCGUGUGUGAAGAAGGCCUUCGGGUUGUAAAGCACUUUCAGCGAGGAGGAAAGGUCAGUAGCUAAUAUCUGCUGGCUGUGACGUUACUCGCAGAAGAAGCACCGGCUAACUCCGUGCCAGCCGCCGCGGUAAGAC
rnacentral:rRNA from 1 species